CAACUUUCAACAACGGAUCUCUUGGCUCUUGCAUCGAUGAAGAACGCAGCGAAAUGCGAUAAGUAAUGUGAAUUGCAGAAUUCCGUGAAUCAUCAAAUCUUUGAACGCAAAUUGCACUCUUUGGUAUCCCGAAGAGUAUGCUUGUUUGAGGGUUGUU
rnacentral:rRNA from 1 species